GUUGUGAAGGUCUCUCAGAUAUUGGCAGUUAAUUCGAGUAUUAUUACAUCGUUUCCGUGUGUAACUAGUACGAUCGAUGAAUUGCAGCACAACGUGAUGACCUAGCAGUGUAAUUUUCAACCAAGACGGCCAAAGGAUUCGCUAAUGAGGAUCUCAUUUGAACUCAAAAUUUCAAGUCAAAUGGAUGUCACAUUGAGGAAAUCCAACGCUGGAUUUGUUCCAGCGCUUGAACAGCUGCCGUGCCCAUUGCUCCUUCCGUUGAAGCUGGGUCUUCCAGCGAGAGGAUCCUUGUAGCUUCAGAUAAGAUACUCCGCACGGCCUCUAU